rnacentral:rRNA from 1 species
CAAUAGCGUAUAUUAAAGUUGUUGCAGUUAAAAAGCUCGUAGUUGGAUUUCGGGGCAGCCUGGCUGGUCCGCCGCAAGGCGAGUACUGGUCAGCCGCCCUUCCUCUCGAAAGCCCCGACUGCUCUUUACUGUAGUGGUCGGGUAGUUCGGGACGUUUACUUUGAAAAAAUUAGAGUGUUCAAGGCAGGCCUACGCCUGAAUACAUUAGCAUGGAAUAAUGGAAGAGGACCUCGGUCCUAUUUUGUUGGUUUCCAGGGCCGAAGUAAUGAUUAAGAGGGACAGUUGGGGGCAUUCGUAUUUAAUUGUCAGAGGUGAAAUUCUCGGAUUUAUGAAAGACGAACAACUGCGAAAGCAUUUGCCAAGGAUGUUUUCAUCAA